rnacentral:lncRNA from 1 species
GUCCAUCCAUUUUUUUUGUGUGUCUUCCUCUAACUAAUGAACGAUAAAGAGUUUCUUUUAUCUGGACUUAUAUAUAUAACCCAUGCUCAUACGAGUUAGAAUAACUUGCAUCUAAACCAACAUGGAGUAGAAGUCCUAAUAUAGAUAGAUUCCUCACAUCCUAAGUAUUCUAAAUAGAACUCUUAAUAGUCAAACAUAAAAGGAUAAGAAUUACAUUUUUUAUUUUGCUCCGCUUUCUUUAUUUAGUUAGAUGUCAAUCUGAGGCAAAAGAAAAAUCAAAGUCCUAAUCUGUAGUUCCUUCUUCUUCUUCUUUAAUACUCCCUCCAUCCUAAAUUAUAAGUCAUUCCAAUAAUCUUAGAGAGUCAAAGCAUUUUUAGUUUGACUAAAUUUAUAUGAUAGCAUAAUAAUAUUUAUGUACCAUCUAAAUAUCAUUAGGUUCUUUAUUAGUUAUAUUUUUAUAGUAAUAUCUAUUUGAUGUCAUAAACCUUUCUAUUUUUUCUAUAAUGUUGGUCAAACUUAAGAUGCUUUGACUCUCCAAGAUUCUUGAAAUGACUUAUAAAUUAGGAUGGAGGGAGUAAUAAAAAAGGCAAAAUUUCUCAUCGUUUUGGAUUUUGGUCGAGCCCAACUAUUCGCUUGUUUCGGUCUAAAAUUAAUUGGUUUAGAGCAACUCCAGCCCACCUCCUAAACAAGCCCCUAUUCUGAAUCUAGGGACUUGAUCAAAAAAAUCAACUCCAACCCACCUCCUACUUGAGCUCCCAUUUUUCAUGUCCUCCCAAAUUAUAGUUUCAGCCCCUCACAUCUAGAACCCCCUAUCCAAUGGAUCGCACCAACUUUCCUCUCCCCACCCAUAAUCAAGACAAGAAUAUGUGAGAUAAGGACUUGGUCUAUUUUUUUUCAUUGGAGUUGGGUCUUAAUUUGAGUCCCUAGUUCUUUUAUCAUAGUUUGUAAAUAAAAGUUUAAGGGCUUCAUUUAGAGACUUGGGCUGGAGUUGCUCUUAAACUUGUGUUAGGCUUCAAGUUAGAUUUAGCCUAUAACUUUUUUUCUCUAACCCAAUUGGACCAGAAGUCCUCGUGUCAUAAACAGAAAAUAAGCUAAAAAUAAUAGGAAACCAGAUCCAAAUGAGAUGAGCAUUAUUUAAUUAAUCUUUAGACCGGCGGAUAUAUAAAGAUAUAGUGGACUGAAAUUUUCACAAUUAUAUAUUAGAGAAAGACUUAUUUCUUAGUAUUUUUUCUUUACUUAUUUUUUUUGUUGUUAUGUAGUAAAAAGGCAGUCUAUUAAUAGAACUCGUUCCAGAGUUUGAUUCCUAGUGUUAGUUAGGAAAAGACGUCGGAUGUGGAAGAUUUUCUUUUUUGCCGUAACUGAUUUCCAUUUGUAAGAUUUUUUGUGGUAACUUUUUUUUUGCCGUAAUUGGUUUUCUUUUUUUUCCUUCCAUUUGUUUUUUUAUGGUACUUUUUUACGUGGGGAGGGUUUGAUUUUUUUUUGCCGUAGUUGUUUUCCUUUUUUGUCGUAUUUUUUAGAUUGAAAACGGGAAGUUGGGUUUUUUUUAGAACUUUUUUUGGCGUAUUUUUUUCCUGGAUUGGAUUGGAAACGGGAAUGUUACCGUGAGUUAGAAUUGGAUACGAAUUGAGCUGGUCAUCGAAGAGUGCUGGAUGUAAAAAUCGUGUCGUGUGCGGGAUGUGCGGAUCGGAUACCGUAUCAACAUGGAUAGAGUCGAGACAACGUCAGCUCGCAGCUGGCCCGUGAGAACCACCAACCACGCCGAUAGUUGCACGUCUCCGAAGUGCACGUACGGAGACCGCACCGCCCCCGGGGUAAGGCGGACAGAAAGGUGGACCGAAGAGGGUGGACAGAAUUUUUUGGGCAGACUGAAAUUUUCACAAUUUAGUAGUAGGUAUAGAUGCAACAUCAGGUCAUGAGUUCGAUUCUCAGCUACAACAAAUAUGGGAUUGUUUCUCUUUUUUUCCAUGCAUAUCCUUGAGGGUCAUCGGCACUUAAGAAAACAUUUAUCCUUGAGUGUUUUUAUAUUUUCUUGGGUGCCAUCGGCACUCAAGGAAAUCUAUAUCCUUGGGUGUUUUUAUAUUUUCUUGAGUGUCAUUGGCACUCAAGGAAACCUAUAUCCUUGGGUGUCGUUAGAUUUUCUUGAUGAUAUUAAAAAUCUGACCACUGAUUUAUUUUCUUGACGGUUUAACCCUCAAGGAAUUGAUUUGUGGCGGCCGGCACUCAAGGAAAUAGUAUUUCCUUGUCUCUCUACCCUUGGCGGCCAUUUCUUGAGUGCUAGCCGCCAAUAUUGAUUUCCUUGGCGGUUUUAGGGGUUUCCUUGAUGAAAGAGCAUCUAGGCCCCCAGUGAUUUCGGUGAUUAAUGACAUCAUGAUUACUAUGACUAACGUGUGUUUUGCAGAGGCAAAGUCAUAGGUAAGGUCAUGGUAUAUAGGUACUCGAUGGACAGGGACGUACAUGCCUACUUAAUAGUGGAAAUCGUUUCGGUUUUCAAAAGAUGGUUGGACAUCGUCAAGACUAGACUAGGUCUAAGUGCCAUAUGGCGAAGAAGGGCACUUAGAGUAGUUUAGGACUUUGUUUUCCUUUGACCGUACUAUUAAGAGGGGCUUUGAUCUAGUAGCUUGACUUAGACAAGGCUUUAAGUUUUGGUGUGGUGCACACUUAGUAAACCUAGCACUAGGCAGCUCAGAGAUAGUCCUUAGAUCGAGAGGAACAAACUUCGUUUUGGAGCGAUCGCGUUUCGACGAAGUUUGGGUGCCCAAAGGGGCACCGGACGCUGCACCGAACACUCUGUGAGUGCGUCCGGUGAGGUCCCUAGCCGUUAGAAUAGUGUGGUGCUUAGGGUUAGGCACCGGACGCUAGCACCGGACGCACCGAGUAGCGUCCGGUCCCUUACCCAGGGAGGUUGCAAGCCUUCCCUGAGCACCGGACGCGCCGGGUAGCGUCCGGUCCCAUGCGCAGGGAGCAUGUAAAGUUUUCCCGAGCACCGGACGGUGCACCGGACGCUGGGAGUUAGCGUCCGGUGACCUGUCAGAGAAAAGUGCAGGUAGCCGUUAUGA